AGAGUUUGAUCCUGGCUCAGGAUGAACGCUGGCGGCGCGCCUAACACAUGCAAGUCGAACGGCACCCAUCUUCGGAUGGAAGCGAGUGGCGAACGGCUGAGUAACACGUGGAGAACCUGCCCCCUCCCCCGGGAUAGCCGCCCGAAAGGACGGGUAAUACCGGAUACCCCGGGGUGCCGCAUGGCACCCCGGCUAAAGCCCCGACGGGAGGGGAUGGCUCCGCGGCCCAUCAGGUAGACGGCGGGGUGACGGCCCACCGUGCCGACAACGGGUAGCCGGGUUGAGAGACCGACCGGCCAGAUUGGGACUGAGACACGGCCCAGACUCCUACGGGAGGCAGCAGUGGGGAAUCUUGCGCAAUGGGGGGAACCCUGACGCAGCGACGCCGCGUGCGGGACGGAGGCCUUCGGGUCGUAAACCGCUUUCAGCAGGGAAGAGUCAAGACUGUACCUGCAGAAGAAGCCCCGGCUAACUACGUGCCAGCAGCCGCGGUAAUACGUAGGGGGCGAGCGUUAUCCGGAUUCAUUGGGCGUAAAGCGCGCGUAGGCGGCCCGGCAGGCCGGGGGUCGAAGCGGGGGGCUCAACCCCCCGAAGCCCCCGGAACCUCCGCGGCUUGGGUCCGGUAGGGGAGGGUGGAACACCCGGUGUAGCGGUGGAAUGCGCAGAUAUCGGGUGGAACACCGGUGGCGAAGGCGGCCCUCUGGGCCGAGACCGACGCUGAGGCGCGAAAGCUGGGGGAGCGAACAGGAUUAGAUACCCUGGUAGUCCCAGCCGUAAACGAUGGACGCUAGGUGUGGGGGGACGAUCCCCCCGUGCCGCAGCCAACGCAUUAAGCGUCCCGCCUGGGGAGUACGGCCGCAAGGCUAAAACUCAAAGGAAUUGACGGAAGGGC
rnacentral:rRNA from 1 species